AAAUUGAAGAGUUUGAUCCUGGCUCAGAACGAACGCUGGCGGCGUGGCUAAGACAUGCAAGUCGAACGGACGAUUGAAUUGGGUAACCGAGACAAUCGUUAGUGGCGAAAGGGUGAGGAAUGGAUAGGUAACGUACCUUUGGCUUCGGGAUAGCGUUCCGAAAGGAGCGGUAAUACCGGAUAACAUCACAGAGUGCAGGCUUUGUGAUCAAAGAUUCAUCGGCCAAAGAGCGGCCUAUUCCCUAUCAGCUUGUUGGUGAGGUAACGGCUCACCAAGGCGACGACGGGUAGCGGGACUGAGAGGUUGGCCCGCCACAUCGGGACUGAGACACUGCCCGGACCUCCACGGAGGGCUGCAGUAACGAAUAUUGGGCAAUGGGCGAAAGCCUGACCCAGCGACGCCGCGUGCAGGACGAAGUCCUUCGGGAUGUAAACUGCUGUCAGGGACUAGAAAGCUUCGGUUGAUCAGUCCCAGAGGAAGUCACGGCUAACUUCGUGCCAGCAGCCGCGGUAAUACGAAGGUGGCAAGCGUUGUUCGGAAUCACUGGGCUUAAAGGGCGCGUAGGCGGACCAGAAAGUGUCUUGUGAAAUCCCCCGGCUUAACCGGGGAAUGGCAGGGCAAACUACUGGUCUUGAGGCAAGUAGGGGUGUGUGGAACUCUUGGUGGAGCGGUGGAAUGCGUAGAUAUCAAGAGGAACGCCGAAGGUGAAGACAGCACACUGGACUUGUACUGACGCUGAGGCGCGAAAGCGUGGGGAGCAAACAGGAUUAGAUACCCUGGUAGUCCACGCUGUAAACGAUGCCUACUAGGUUGUGGGGGUUCUGACACUCUCACAGUCGUAGCAAAAGUGUUAAGUAGGCCGCCUGGGGAGUACGGUCGCAAGGCUAAAACUCAAAGGAAUUGACGGGGGCUCACACAAGCGGUGGAGCAUGUGGAUUAAUUCGAAGCAACGCGCAGAACCUU
rnacentral:rRNA from 1 species